rnacentral:rRNA from 1 species
GACGAGCGCUGGCGGCGUGCUUAACACAUGCAAGUCGAACGGAAAGGCCCUGCUUGCAGGGUACUCGAGUGGCGAACGGGUGAGUAACACGGGGGUGAUCUGCCCUGCACUUCGGGAUAAGCCUGGGAAACUGGGUCUAAUACCGGAUAGGAGCCAUUUUUAGUGUGAUGGUUGGAAAGUUUUUUCGGUGUAGGAUGAGCUCGCGGCCUAUCAGCUUGUUGGUGGGGUAAUGGCCUACCAAGGCGGCGACGGGUAGCCGGCCUGAGAGGGUGGACGGCCACAUUGGGACUGAGAUACGGCCCAGACUCCUACGGGAGGCAGCAGUGGGGAAUAUUGCACAAUGGGCGCAAGCCUGAUGCAGCGACGCCGCGUGGGGGAUGACGGCCUUCGGGUUGUAAACUCCUUACGCUAGGGACGAAGCUUUUUGUGACGGUACCUAGAGAAGAAGCACCGGCUAACUACGUG